rnacentral:lncRNA from 1 species
CGUUUUUGGGCACGUGUCUAGGAUGGCAGGAUAGGGUGGCAGUACGAUGCGGGUUGCUGAUGAGGAUGGUUGCCGAUGAGGGAGAGGUUGAAUGUGACUAAGUCCACAGACAGUAAUAUGGUGCCGAUGGCUGGAUAAAAAGGUCUGCCGAUGACUAUGGCAAGAGGAUUGCCGAUGAUGCAAAGGAGGAGUCCGGAAGCUGCCAGUUGUCAUGUGGAGGAGUUUCGGUUUGUCACGAAGGAUAGUUUUAUUAUUUCCUUAAUUAUUUGCAUCGUUUUGUAUACGGAUUCCGUGUAAUUUGGAAUUCGAAUUCUAAUCGUGUCUGGUUGUAGCUCUUUGAGCAG